rnacentral:rRNA from 1 species
AUUGAACGCUGGCGGCAGGCCUAACACAUGCAAGUCGAACGAGUGGCGGACGGGUGAGUAAUUUCUGGGAAACUGCCUGAUUGAGGGGGAUAACUACUGGAAAAGGUAGCUAAUACCGCAUACCAUCGGAUGUGCCCAGAUGGGAUUAGCUAGUAGGUGGGGUAACGGCUCACCUAGGCGACGAUCCCUAGCUGGUCUGAGAGGAUGACAAGCCACAUUGGAACUGAGAAACGGUCCAUACUCCUACGGGAGGCAGCAGUGGGGAAUAUUGCACAAUGGGCGCAAGCCUGAUGCAGCCAUGCCGCGUGUAUGAAGAAGGCCUUCGGGUUGUAAAGUACUGUCAGCGGGGAGGCGUUACCCGCAGAAGAAGCACCGGCUAACUCCGUGCCAGCAGCCGCGGUAAUUC